UACGAAGGGGGCUAGCGUUGCUCGGAAUUACUGGGCGUAAAGGGAGCGUAGGCGGACAGUUUAGUCAGAGGUGAAAGCCCAGGGCUCAACCCUGGAAUUGCCUUUGAUACUGACUGUCUUGAGUGUGGGAGAGGUGUGUGGAACUCCGAGUGUAGAGGUGAAAUUCGUAGAUAUUCGGAAGAACACCAGUGGCGAAGGCGACACACUGGCCCAUUACUGACGCUGAGGCUCGAAAGCGUGGGGAGCGAUCCGG
rnacentral:rRNA from 1 species